GCAGAGGCGGCGGGGGGCAAAACGCAGAGGCGGCGGAGGCAAAAAGCUGCAAAAGCCGCGGUGUGGGGGCAAAAAGCCGCAGCGGGAGAAAGCCACGGCUGCGGGGGCAAAAAGCCAUGGCGGCGGGGGCAAAAUAGUGGAAAUGGGGUAGAAGGCCGGCACGGCUUGGCAUUGCUGGAGUGUGAUGUGAUAGGAAAAGUGCAGCCGAAGACAAAAAAAGAUAUCACAUUGUAAUCAACAAUGAUGAAGAGUGACAUCUAGUCAUUUCAUCUAUUGGCACAGGCAAGUGAGUGGUGUUUGCAUUGCUCAGUCCCAGAAAAUCCCACGUGAACCAAGACCUGGAGAAUUUGAAAAAAUUAUCAAAUGCCUGCUAGAAACACCUAAUGCUCGAGCAGUGAUUAUGUUUGCCAAUGAGGAUGACAUCAGGAGGAUAUUGGAAGCAGCAAAAAAACUAAACCAAAGUGGCCAUUUUCUCUGGAUUGGCUCAGAUAGUUGGGGAUCCAAAAUAGCACCUGUCUAUCAGCAAGAGGAGAUUGCAGAAGUGGCUGUGACAAUUUUGCCCAAACGAGCAUCAAUUGAUGGAUUUGAUCGAUACUUUAGAAGCCGAACUCUUGCCAAUAAUCGAAGAAAUGUGUGGUUUGCAGAAUUUUGGGAGGAGAAUUUUGGCUGCAAGUUAGGAUCACAUGGGAAAAGGAACAGUCAUAUAAAGAAAUGCACAGACUGAAAAGCUGGAAUCAAUUGGAGUAAGCAACUUACAAAUGGGACAAAGAAAAGAACCAGGAUGAGAAAUUCCAUAUGUCUUCUUAUCAUACAAUUCAAUCCUGUGAAUUGUUGAUUAUUUGCUUUACUACUCUAAAUGACUUAUGCAUGUCGUUUUAUUUGUCUUUCUACCAUCAAAAUAGAAGAAGGCCUAUUUCUUCUUCUUCUACCAGUUGCAGAGUUAAAAUGAGGCUGAACAUUCUCUUGUAAAUUCAGGGUGUUUACCUAGCCCAGGAAAAUCAGUCCUAAGCAGACAAAGGAGACUUGGAAUGAUUUAUCUAAACACCUAAAUUAGUUACAUCAUUAUUUAUCUGCAAAGCUUCUUGAGUUUUGUUAUCAUACUCUGGAUGGAGGCCAAUCAGAAAUGACCCUUAAGAUCUGACUCUGUCUAGCCAGUCUCCCCUUGACCAAGGAGAACAUCUGGGCAUGAACUGUAGUUUUCAUUGUCCUCUGACCAACUCAGAUUAGAAAUAGCUACCUGAGGCCAGCCUUUAGUUCUAUUUUGAUCAAACUGUUUUAUAGACACAGCCUUCAGCCUUCCCCAUGACCUUUGAAAACUGCCCAGGGUAAAGGCGAAUUACAAAUACUAUUAAGGUUGAUGAGUAAUCAACUCAGUAAUGAGGAUACUAUUUCACAUUCUUAGGGGUAGAUGCUUUUUCUCUGUGGGAUGCCUGAGUAGGAAAUUUUGAUGGCUCCAAAUGUGGCCACAACAAACAUCAGGAGGCUCUCCUACUGUAGAGAUUUCCCUGAAACUGAACUCUGGAGGAUGAAAGAUUUGGUGUAGAUACUUGACCUUCUGAAAAUAAAGCUUUAUGUAUGUGUGUAUCUAUCUAUUAUUCUCAUAGCAGCAAUUAGUCUGAAAUCUAAUGCCUUGUCAGUGAACAUAACAAUUUUUGUAAAUGUUCUCCUCUUAGCUUUUAAGUUUUUUUUUAGCGAUGAGUCAAAUUAUACUCAGAUUUUUAUAGGUUAUCCCUAGUAUUCUUGUUUCUUGUUAUUGAAGAUAUUCAAAUGUUAAUAUAUGGUAAUAAGAAGUAGCUCAAAAAGAGCAGAAUGACCUCUUCCUUACCCCCUUAGUGAUACAGACAAAUAGAGUAUUUGUUCAUGUUAUAUUUUGGCUUUUAUUUUUAAAUCAAGGAGGUUGAAUUAGAGACAGAGCAAAAUAAGCAAAAACCUGAAGCUAUAAAUUUCUAGGUCAAUCCAAAUACAUAAAGCAUUAAAAAAUGUCAGAUGCGAAGCUAGAUGCAAACUGACAGGGAAAAAAAAAAACCUCUUUGUGUACUUAAAGCCCCAAACCAAAAGCAAAAUUAAAAUUUGUGCUGACCCUUCUCCCCUGGGGCUGCAGAUGUCACUGCUGUCCAGGGCGCCGUCUGUUACUGAGUGGAAGGAAGAGGAAUGGCAUCCAAGUCACUAGUGUAAAAUAAAUCGUCUGCCUGCC